GACAGAGGUGCCAAGCGUUAUCCGGAUUCACUGGGUUUAAAGGGUGCGUAGGUGGGUUGGUAAGUCAGUGGUGAAAUCCCCGAGCUUAACUUGGGAACUGCCAUUGAUACUAUCAGUCUUGAAUAUUGUGGAGGUCAGCGGAAUAUGUCAUGUAGCGGUGAAAUGCUUAGAUAUGACAUAGAACACCAAUUGCGAAGGCAGCUGGCUACGCAUAUAUUGACACUGAGGCACGAAAGCGUGGGGAUCAAACAGG
rnacentral:rRNA from 1 species